rnacentral:rRNA from 1 species
UGGCGGACGGGUGAGUAACGCGUGGGUAACCUGCCUCAUACGGGGGGAUAACAGUUAGAAAUGACUGCUAAUACCGCAUAAGACCACAGCACCGCAUGGUGCAGGGGUAAAAACUCCGGUGGUAUGAGAUGGACCCGCGUCUGAUUAGGUAGUUGGUGGGGUAACGGCCUACCAAGCCGACGAUCAGUAGCCGACCUGAGAGGGUGACCGGCCACAUUGGGACUGAGACACGGCCCAA